rnacentral:rRNA from 1 species
UACGAAGGGGGCUAGCGUUGCUCGGAAUCACUGGGCGUAAAGCGCACGUAGGCGGAUUGCUAAGUCAGGGGUGAAAUCCUGGAGCUCAACUCCAGAACUGCCUUUGAUACUGGCAACCUUGAGUCCGGGAGAGGUGAGUGGAACUGCGAGUGUAGAGGUGAAAUUCGUAGAUAUUAGGAAGAACACCAGUGGCGAAGGCGGCUCACUGGCCCGGUACUGACGCUGAGGCGCGAAAGCGUGGGGAGCAAACAGG